GGGCAGGUAGUUUAACGGUAAAACUAGUAUCUUGCACAUACUCUUUGCGGGUUCGAUACCCGUCUUGUCCA